AGAGUUGUAUCCUGGCUCAGGAUGAACGCUAGCGGCAGGCCUAACACAUGCAAGUCGAGCGGUAGAAACCUUCGGGUUUUGAGAGCGGCGCACGGGUGCGUAACGCGUAUGCAACCUACCCUUCACAGGGGAAUAGCCCGUCGAAAGGCGGAUUAAUGUCCCAUAGUCCUCAGGAUAGGCAUCUAUUCUGGGGUAAAGAUUCAUCGGUGAAGGAUGGGCAUGCGUGCCAUUAGCUUGAUGGUAGGGUAACGGCCUACCAUGGCUACGAUGGCUAGGGGUUCUGAGAGGAAGGCCCCCCACACUGGGACUGAGACACGGCCCAGACUCCUACGGGAGGCAGCAGUGAGGAAUAUUGGUCAAUGGGCGCAAGCCUGAACCAGCCAUGCCGCGUGCGGGAAGAAGGCGCUACGC
rnacentral:rRNA from 1 species